rnacentral:rRNA from 1 species
UACGAAGGGGGCUAGCGUUGUCCGGAAUUACUGGGCGUAAAGCGCGCGUAGGCGGCUUUUCAAGUCGAUUGUGAAAUCCCCGGGCUUAACCUGGGAACUGCAGUCGAGACUGUCUAGCUAGAGUAUGGGAGAGGGAAGUGGAAUUUCAGGUGUAGCGGUGAAAUGCGUAGAUAUCUGAAGGAACAUCAGUGGCGAAAGCGACUUCCUGGACCAAUACUGACGCUCAUGUGCGAAAGCGUGGGGAGCAAACAGG